rfam:Eubacterium coprostanoligenes strain ATCC 51222 genome assembly, contig: EI64DRAFT_scaffold00008.8
AGUUUUAAGAGUUUGAUCCUGGCUCAGGACGAACGCUGGCGGCGUGCCUAACACAUGCAAGUCGAACGAAGCUUGACGAACGAUUCUUCGGAUGAAUUCUGAUAUGACUGAGUGGCGGACGGGU